AGGAACACGGCGAUGCUGUCGUAGCAGUCCGACACAUAGGUGGACAUGCUCUUCUGCAGGGGAAAGAAAAGAGGAAGAGAGGGAAAGCAAUGCUUUGGUGAAAAAGUCUUCUCGUACCAGGAACAAGCUGAGUGUCUUUCCCAUGACGCUGUUGAAGAGGUCCAGCCCAGAAUUUCCAGCCACCAUGAAGAAGUCAGACAGGAAGAGGAACUCUCGACAGCCGUUGUCCAAGAGGGCGUAGUGCUGACUGCGGAACAGCGUCUCAUAGGGAUACUGAGAGGGGACGAAGAAGGCUGGUUGGGUGACUUGAUAAUCUACAUCAAUGUUAAUAUUAGAACUGGAGUCCACAUGCUUUUCUGCGAAGCUUUGCGUUUAACUGUCAAUCUGUGGUCCGAGUUCUGCCGUUGUGCAUUCCUUUAAGAUGUGUGUGUGUGGUGACAAGACGGUAGUGAGAGAAGCACAGGUGUGUUGGAGCAGUACAGCUUAACGAUAUCUAGACGUUUAGGGUUGGCUUUGUGUCUUCACCUCACAACCUUAUACUCUAUGCAUGUUCAAAUGAUUUCAGAGUAGUGCUAAACAUCUUAUAAUUAAAAGGUAGGUUCAUUUCAUUCAAAAUGUCUGUUACUCUCGAGCAGUAGUACGUGGCAUAGUUUGGAGGGGUUGUACAGCGCUGCCAGUGGUCUCACCCUGCAGUCCCCUCUCUGGGCAGUGUGGGGGAUGAGGAUGGGCCCCUCCAGCUCGGCAGGGCUCAGCACGGCCCCCCGCUGGCCCAGGGUGAAGAUGGUGUUCCUGCUCUUCAGGGAGGGCUUGGAGAAGAAACCUUUCUUGGCCGUGUCUUCCACUCCCAUCAAGUCAUCUUUGUCUGCCACCUCUUCAUACUGUCAACAGAGAAAGAGGUUACGCGAACAGUAUUAAAAUAGUAUCAGCUAAUUUGACUGAUAUGACACUCGACACUGUUGAAAAUGUACCAUCAAACAUAACAUAGCCCUUGCUGUACAUUAUAGCAGCAAGCUGUUCCAGAACAAUUCACAGUGAUAACCUAAAUUAAGGUACUGUAUAUUGAGCCUAUAAACCAAGAGAAGGCAUUUUAACUCCUUCACUCCCUUAGCACCUGUGCCAUUUGCUCACCUGUACUUUGAGGAGCCUGCCGCUGUACGACUUGAAGUAACUGUAGUAGAUCUUACUCAUGGUGUCCACAUAUUCAUCCCUGAUCUCCUUGGCCACUGUCCUUUCGUUUGCCAAGAGGAACUGAUAGAAAAACCUAAAGUACGAAGAAACACUUACGAUUGUGGUAGAUACAUGACUGUGGCGGUGCUUUUUGGUCUGUUUGAAGGUAUCGAAGCCCGUUAUAAGCCUAUAUUUACCUGUACUUGAGGAGGGUGUUCUGGGGGAUUUGAUAGUUGGUCAUGGGCUUUCUGAAGGAAUAAAUCUUCUGCAGGAUAAAUUCUCGGAUCUUUGUGACAGCCUGUGGAACAAAAUAAAAGGCAGUUUUAUACACAA